ACCAUUAGAAAGAACUCCAGAGAGUGCAAGAGGAUAUGUGUCACUGACAGGCCAGAGCACUUGAGCUACAGGUGAUGAGUUGAUUGCAGACAGGUGUGGAGAGAGGCCAGGAGCCAGGGGAGAACACUGUAUCCGCCACACCCAGCCUUAACUCCGAAAUCAUUAGCGUGCCGAUGUGCGAAGACAAGGCGGACUACAGAGAGCGACAGUGCAGACCAAGGCUUUGGAAGGCGCCCACUGUCAGGCCUGUGCAGUAAGAGAGUUUGAGGGAGCGCAGCUGAGGGCAGAACUGCGAAACCACCUAAAAUUGAUCACAACACAAAAGGAAAGAAAAUUUCGGGAGCUGGUUUUUCCCUGGUGCGAUCCAGCAGAAACCCACAGUCACAUCACGCCACAGCACCGGACUGGAGGCAGCAACGUUCCACAGUCGACAAACUCUCCCCACCCUGCACCAGAAACACACAGUAACCCAGCUGGAUGAUAAAGUUGAAAUGAAUAUCAUGAUAUUUUACAUUAUCAUCAUUAUUUAUAAAGAACAAAAUCUAUUUUUAUGGUGUCUCUAUAUCACAAAAUUAGAGCUCAAACAAUCAAUAGAUUAAUUGAUCAACAGAAAAUUAAUUAAAACCUCACUGGUUCCACCUUUUUCAAAUGUGAAUAUUUGCCUAUAUCCUUUCAAUGCUAUAGUGGUAAAUUGAAUAUGUUUGGGUUUUCAAAUGUUCAGCAGACUAAACAAGAACAUUAGCUUGAAGUCUGUAAAAUGCAAUACAAAUUUUAUUACAUUGUUUUAUAUUUUAUGUAUUUUAUUAUAUUAUUGUCUGACACUUUAAAGACCAAAUGAUCAAUCAAGAAAAUAAUCAGCAGUUGUAUGAAAAUAAUCAGCAGUUGCAUUUGUAAUCUUGAAUCUACAAAAUCAGAUACAAAAUAACUGAUGUUCAAGGAAACGAAAUGUGUAAAACUGUAAAGCACAUGGCAAAUCUAUUUGUACACCAUAUUCUCAUACACAAAGGUCAUUCACUGCUCAACAGAAAUAAAAUAAGCAUAAUAAAAGUAAAAAACA